ensembl:rRNA 5S_rRNA 5S ribosomal RNA
GUCUACAGCCAUAUCACCCAAACUCCCCUGAUCUCGUCUGAUCUCAGAAGCUAAGCAGGGUCGGGCCUGGUUAGUACUUGGAUGGGAGAAAGGAUGAAAGAUCUCAACCAGUGAUAUAAAGU